UACGGAGUGACACAAACAUUUUCAAUGGAGUGACAUAAAUAAUUUCAUGGACAAGUUAAUAUCGUCUCUGGAUAAACCAAUGAGGCACUCUGAAAUGAGAAGUUUUAGCAGGCUACCUUUCAGUUUGCUGCAAUUAAUUGAAGAGCCCAAGGCUAGAUUUACAUCUUUCUGGAUAAAUUCAGAGACAUCUAGAGCUAUCGGACAGACAGGCCCAGUGAAGAUGAAUGCAGAGGCUACAAGCAAGAGCAAGAAGGGAGACUAUUUUCAAAUGUGGUCAUUAAGUAUCCUAGCCAUUCGAGAGGCAAACUGAUUCCAUGUAGGUAGCUCUACUAAUGAAGAGGAACAAAUUCCCUGAGUGGAAUUCAGGUAGCUUCCUUAGUAGAAGAUGAUUUCCUGCUCUUCAUUCAGAGAAGCCUUAUUUCUAGCAGGAGUCUCAGAAAUGUUUUAAAUGAGCUGAAUAUGGUCUCUCAGUGAAGCAGAGUGUCUCCCUUUGGAAAGCAGCUGGAUUAGGGGCACUUGACCUUUCUGAAUUGCGUAUGCACGAAUCGACAAUAAAGAUCUGAAAGGAAAGGGAAGUGAACUGACUGGAAAUUCUCUCUUAAAGUCUUAGAUACCUUUGUUCACUGAAUUUGUUCUAAUGAACAUGGCUAAAUUUCUAGGAUCUAAAAUGAAGAUAGUUUCU